rnacentral:rRNA from 1 species
AUACGGAGGGUGCAAGCGUUACUCGGAAUCACUGGGCGUAAAGCGCGCGCAGGCGGCCAUUUAAGUUGGAUGUGAAAGCCUACGGCUUAACCGUAGAACUGCAUCCAAAACUAUUUGGCUAGAGUGUGGGAGAGGAAGAUGGAAUUAGUUGUGUAGGGGUAAAAUCCGUAGAGAUAACUAGGAAUACCAAAAGCGAAGGCAAUCUUCUGGAACACUACUGACGCUGAGGCGCGAAGGCGUGGGGAGCAAACAGGAUUAGAAACCCCGGUAGUCC